rnacentral:rRNA from 1 species
UACGGAGGAUGCGAGCGUUAUCCGGAUUUAUUGGGUUUAAAGGGUGCGUAGGCUGGUAAUUAAGUCAGUGGUGAAAUACUCCGGCUCAACCGGGGGGCUGCCGUUGAUACUGGUUACCUUGAGUUUAGAUGAUGUGGGCGGAAUGUGUCAUGUAGCGGUGAAAUGCAUAGAGAUGACACAGAACACCGAUAGCGAAGGCAGCUCACAAAGCUAUUACUGACGCUGAUGCACGAAAGCGUGGGGAGCAAACAGGA